UGAAAAACAGGUUCUCAUGCAAUCACUGAAGUUAAGCAAUGUCAAGCCUGGUCAGUACCUAGAUGGGAGACAACUUGGGAAUACAAGGUGCUGUAAG